CGUGGGUAACCUGCCCAAGAGAUCGGGAUAACACCUGGAAACAGAUGCUAAUACCGGAUAACAACAGAUGAUGCCUAUCAACUGUUUAAAAGAUGGUUCUGCUAUCACUCUUGGAUGGACCUGCGGUGCAUUAGCUAGUUGGUAGGGUAACGGCCUACCAAGGCGAUGAUGCAUAGCCGAGUUGAGAGACUGAUCGGCCACAUUGGGACUGAGACACGGCCUAAACUCCUACGGGAGGCAGCAGGA
rnacentral:rRNA from 1 species